rnacentral:tRNA from 1 species
CGGGGCGUAGCGCAGCUUGGCAGCGCGCCACAAAUGGGGCUGUGGAGGUCGCAAGCUCGAAUCUCGCCGCCCCGACCA